rnacentral:rRNA from 1 species
CCUACGGGACGCAGCAGUGGGGAAUAUUGCACAAUGGGGGAAACCCUGAUGCAGCGACGCCGCGUGAGCGAAGAAGUAUUUCGGUAUGUAAAGCUCUAUCAGCAGGGAAGAAAAUGACGGUACCUGACUAAGAAGCCCCGGCUAAAUACGUGCCAGCAGCCGCGGUAAUACGUAUGGGGCAAGCGUUAUCCGGAUUUACUGGGUGUAAAGGGAGCGUAGACGGUAUGGCAAGUCUGAAGUGAAAGCCCCGGGCUCAACCUGGGAAUUGCUUUGGAAACUGUUAAACUAGAGUGCUGGAGAGGCAG